rnacentral:rRNA from 1 species
AUACGUAGGGGGCAAGCGUUGUCCGGAAUUACUGGGCGUAAAGAGCUCGUAGGCGGCUCAGCAAGUCGGUCGUGAAAGCCCGAGGCUCAACCUCGGAACUGCGGUCGAUACUGCUGUGGCUAGAGUCCGGUAGAGGAGAGUGGAAUUCCCGGUGUAGCGGUGGAAUGCGCAGAGAUCGGGAGGAACACCAGUGGCGAAGGCGGCUCUCUGGGCCGGUACUGACGCUGAGGAGCGAAAGCGUGGGGAGCAAACAGGAUUAGAAACCCUAGUAGUCC